AGUGAACGCUGGCGGUAGGCCUAACACAUGCAAGUCGAACGGCAGCACAGUAAGAGCUUGCUCUUACGGGUGGCGAGUGGCGGACGGGUGAGGAAUACAUCGGAAUCUACUUUUUCGUGGGGGAUAACGUAGGGAAACUUACGCUAAUACCGCAUACGACCUACGGGUGAAAGCAGGGGAUCUUCGGACCUUGCGCGAUUGAAUGAGCCGAUGUCGGAUUAGCUAGUUGGCGGGGUAAAGGCCCACCAAGGCGACGAUCCGUAGCUGGUGUGAGAGGAUGAUCAGCCACACUAGAACUGAAACACGGUCCAGACUCCUACGGGAGGCAGCAGUGGGGAAUAUUGGACAAUGGGCGCAAGCCUGGUCCAGCCAUACCGCGUGGGUGAAGAAGGCCUUCGGGUUGUAAAGCCCUUUUGUUGGGAAAGAAAAGCAGCAGGUUAAUACCCCGCUGUUCUGACGGUACCUAAAGAAUAAGCACCGGCUAACUUCGUG
rnacentral:rRNA from 1 species